rnacentral:rRNA from 1 species
AUAAGAGGUCCCGCCUGCCCAGUGACAAUUCAGUUUAACGGCCGCGGUAUCCUAACCGUGCAAAGGUAGCGCAAUCACUUGUCUUUUAAAUGAAGACCUGUAUGAAUGGCAUAACGAGGGCUUAACUGUCUCCUUUUUCAAGUCAAUGAAAUUGAUCUCCCCGUGCAGAAGCGGGGAUUCCCACAUAAGACGAGAAGACCCUAUGGAGCUUUAGACACAAGACAGACUUCGUCACUCACCCCAACAAAAGAGUUAAACUAAAAAGACCUGUCCUUAUGUCUUCGGUUGGGGCGACCAUGGGGUAAUAAAAAACCCCCACGUGGAUCGGGAGAUCAGACCUCACCACUCCUCCCAAAACCAAGAGUGACAACUCUAACUAACAGAACCUCUGACCAAAAAUGAUCCGGCAACGCCGAUCAACGAACCAAGUUACCCUAGGGAUAACAGCGCAAUCCUCUUUUAGAGCCCAUAUCGACAAGGGGGUUUACGACCUCGAUGUUGGAUCAGGACAUCCUAAUGGUGCAGCCGCUAUUAAGGGUUCGUUUGUUCAACGAUUAAAGUCCUACGUGAUC